rnacentral:rRNA from 1 species
GUCUUUUUGAAUUAAAUUUAAAGUCUAACCUGCCCACUGAAAAUUUUAAAUGGCCGCAGUAUUCUAACUGUGCAAAGGUAGCAUAAUCAUUAGUCUUUUAAUUGAAGGCUGGAAUGAAUGGUUGGACGAAAUAUUAACUGUUUCAUUUAAAUUUUUUAUAGAAUUUUAUUUUUUAGUCAAAAAGCUAAAAUUAAUUUAAAAGACGAGAAGACCCUAUAAAUCUUUAUAUUUUGUUUAUUUUAAUUAUAAAGAUUAUUUUUAUUAUAAUAAAUUAAAAUAUUUUAUUGGGGUGAUAUUAAAAUUUAAAAAACUUUUAAUUUUUAAAACCAUUAAUUUAUGAAUAAUUGAUCCAUUAAUAAUGAUUAAAAAUUUAAGUUACUUUAGGGAUAACAGCGUAAUUUUUUUGGAGAGUUCAUAUCGAUAAAAAAGAUUGCGACCUCGAUGUUGGAUUAAGAUAUAAUUUUGGGUGUAGCCGUUCAAAUUUUAAGUCUGUUCGACUUUUAAAUUCUU